rnacentral:rRNA from 1 species
AGGGAAUUUUGCACAAUGAGCGAAAGCUUGAUGCAGCGACGCCGCGUGCGGGAUGAAUGCCUUCGGGUUGUAAACCGCUUUCAGGAGGGACGAAGCGAAAGUGACGGUACCUUCAGAAGAAGCCCCGGCCAACUACGUGCCAGCAGCCGCGGUAAUACGUAGGGGGCGAACGUUGUCCGGAUUUAUUGGGCGUAAAGAGCUCGUAGGCGGCUCAACAAGUCGGCCGUGAAAACCCGGGGCUCAACCCCGGGACGCCGGUCGAAACUGCUGUGGCUAGGGUUCGGUAGAGGAGAGUGGAAUUCCCGGUGUAGCGGUGAAAUGCGCAGAUAUCGGGAGGAACACCAGUAGCGAAGGCGGCUCUCUGGGCCGAUACCGACGCUGAGGAGCGAAAGCUAGGGGAGCAAA